rnacentral:lncRNA from 1 species
AUAUCUUGCAUACAAACCCUUGUGCUUCUUAGUCUGUCUUUUUCCAAUUUGUUUUCACCCUUCAAUUGCAUCAUUCUAAGAGUGUAAAUGUAGUACAGCAGCUGGAUUCCCGUAUUUUGUUUGUUUGUUUUUCAUUUUUCUCUUUCAUAAUGACAGUACUACUAUGCCGAUGUCCAUAAGUCUUCCUUUAUGCUAGAAAUAAAAGGUGUAAAUGAAAAUAAAUCUGGACCUAGUAUGGGGCAAGAGGUAUAAGAAAAUCUUCAAGAGAUUUGAAGAAAGGUCUUGCUGUUAGGAAUAGCUGAGGAUGAAAGAGAGAUGAGGGCAAUGGAAACAAACACAGAUUUGAGAAGGGGAUGUGAUUGUAUCCAGAAUAGUUAAGUCUUCUAGUAAAUAUUCAUAUGAUUUUUUAAUGUAUUUUUGUGUUUUCCAUCUCUACCUGGUAGUGAUUUUGCUAGGUGGAGAGUUGACAGAGUCAUGGAGAGGAAUGUACUUAAAACUCCGACGUACACAGACAUUAUGGAAAAGAGAACUUCCACAUUGAGACAUCAUUUGGUGCCACAGGAUAAUUUGUAAGCUAUGAGCCACCAAAGAAAAGCACUGUUUCCUUGAUUUCAAAUACCAGUAUUUGCUGCUGAGAUUGAAUGCCUCCCACAAUCUCUUGUCCUUAAAAUAUGGAUGGUGUGCAUCAAAUAGCUUUUUUUAAGGAAAAAUGUAGAAUGCUGAAAAACAGGUGCCAUAACAACAGCCUGCUGGAGAGGUUUUUCUUUUCAAAUGAAUAUCCUUCUUAUCAAGAAGAAAAAUGAAUUUUCUACACAGAUGCAAAAUUAACUCUUAUUAAUCAACACCAUAUAAGAUAUUACAUCUGCUGGUAUUUGGCUUUCAUUACUGCUUUCAUGAAUUUAGACCUUGAUCAAAUUAAAUUUCACUAUCAAAUCACGAAGAACAAAAUAUUAGGUGAGCUCACAGCAACAGCUAACUCAGUUUUGUGACAUGCUGGAAUAGCUUCUAAAGGAGUAAACAGGAGUAAGAGAGAUUAGUUAGAGUUUGGGAAUUAAUGAGUGGUAGGCUAGAAGGCAAUCAACUGACUCCCAGGGAAGAAUAUGCCCUACAAACUUAGUAGUAUUUUAGGUAUUUCUAAGAAACAUUGCCUGUUGCCAGUGUAAUUUCUCCAUGAGUUUAGGAUCUGCUCCAGUGAAGCAUCAUUCCAUUUCAGUAGCACAUAGUGAUGUUCACCAAGCAUUAAUCAGACACCUCUGGCAAAGUGAUUCCAUUUUCCUGAGUGACUGGGAGGGAUAAAAAUGUCCAUUCUACUCCUGAAACACUUUUGCUGCAAUGCCAUUGUCCUUAUCUUCGGAUCCGUAUGUGCUUGUGGAUCACACAUUAAAUAAAUCAAGUAGGUGUCUGCCUUAUGGAGAAGAC